AGUAAUUCCAAUCCGUGCCUGACUUCCUCUGAUGGCUGAGCCAAAGGAACAGACGCCGUAUGAGUGAGCGCUAGCCUGAUUGUGGGGAAGGAGAAGAAUCGGUGGCACUUUCGAUUAUCUCCCUGACGCAGCUGCCCACGGAUACACCCUCCUCAUCCAAGGAGGCCUUGUGAAAUGGGAUCACUGCUCACUAUUGACAGUCCCCUCUGUUGACCAAUUAAGCCUUUGCCACAAUCAAUUAACCGUUAUGUAAACAGCAACUGUGUCAACCCAAUAAUGCCACUAAGCCAGGCAAAGACUGGGAGACAAAAACGAAGCAAAGACAAGAUAGGAUUCAACGGGCCGAGCGGAAGCGAUCCUCCUUUUCUCCAGCCGCUCAGCCAUCAUCGCACCUGCAGACAAUUUUGGUGGCGCUUUGCACAGGCACCAGUCAAGAGUCAGAAAGGAAGCACGAGUAAGGUGUUCCUUUGUUUUGUUU